rnacentral:rRNA from 1 species
CCUACGUGCAGCAGCAGUGAGGAAUAUUGGUCAAUGGGCGCUAGCCUGAACCAGCCCAGUCGCGUGAAGGAUGACUGCUCUAUGGGUUGUAAACUUCUUUUAUAUGGGAAUAAAGUUCAGCACGUAUACUGCUUUGCAUGUACCCUAUGAAUAAGCAUCGGCUAACUCCGUGCCAGCAGCCGCGGUCAUACGGAGGGUCCGAGCGUUAUCCGGAUUUAUUGGGUUUAAAGGGAGCGUAGGCGGGUUUUUAAGUCAGUUGUGAAAGUUUGCGGCUCAACCGUAAAAUUGCCGUUGAAACUGGCAUCCUUGAGUGCAGUAGAGGUAGGCGGAAUUCGUGGUGUAGCGGUGAAAUGCUUAGAUAUCACGAAGAACUCCGAUUGCGAAGGCAGCCUGCUGGACUGUAACUGACGCUGAUGCUCGAAAGUGUGGGGAUCAAACAGGAUUAGAUACCCUUGUAGUC